GAUCAUGGCUCAGGAUGAACGCUGGCGGCGUGCUUAACACAUGCAAGUCGAACGAAGCACUUAAGUUUGAUUCUUCGGAUGAAGACUUUUGUGACUGAGUGGCGGACGGGUGAGUAACGCGUGGGUAACCUGCCUCAUACAGGGGGAUAACAGUUGGAAACGACUGCUAAUACCGCAUAAGCGCACAGGAUUGCAUGAUCCAGUGUGAAAAACUCCGGUGGU
rnacentral:rRNA from 1 species